GUUUGUUACGUGCUCUAAUGUUAUUGUACGUUAAUGCUUUCAUUUUGAUUAGUUAACACCCAUACUCGGGCUAGUCCGGAUGCUCACCCGAAUAGGUAGAGUAUAAAAGGAAGCCAUUUUGGUUUUUUUAGUGGGUUGUGCUGUUAAUACGUGCCUUCUUUAAUAAAGUGCCAGUCUCGCGUCAUAUUAUUGGAAGGAACCCAUGACCGCCGGCCAAAAACUGACAGGUUGUGAUCUCAGUGAAGAGGUAGAUACGCAGUAUUAGAGGGCGUGGCCUGAAGAAAUGAGACUGGGUAUAUUACUUCAGAACAUAAAAAUACAAUGCAAGAACAUAACUUUAAAAAUGGUGUUUUUGGGGGGAUGUGAAAUAAAUAAAAAACCUCGCAGCCUCAAAACAGAAGCUGUAUCCAAACAGCCUUUAAUAAAUCCCAAACUUUACUUGAAUACAUACAACAAGCGUUAAGAAUUACAACGUCUUCAGCAUCUACAGUGAGGUCACACACACACACACACACACACAGUAGAAAAACUGAUUUCAUUACACUAGUUGAGCAAUGUAAAAUCAUGCGGUCACUCAACUAAUCUUAAAGGCUCAUAAAAGAAAAAAAUUAUGACAAAGUUAAAUGUAUCGAGUCUGUCAAAACUAAAAACAAAACUACGAUAAAACAAAAAAGGAAACACAAAUUGUCCUCACUUUUUCCAAAAACGGUGAAAAUGGUUGUCAAGAGCCCCAUACCCCUUGUCGAUAUAAUGAUAACGAGUGAAAAACUAAGAAUUUGUAAAAUAAGAGUUCAUCUGUACAAAACAGGCAAACAAACUACUCCGAUCAUUCUGUCUCUACACAGCCAUCUCCUCAGAAUCUGUUUUACUCUCAACUUCAUGCAACAACGCGUCAGGUUUGCCUUGCUUUGACCCCACAACAGAGGCUAUAAUGUUUUCUAGGUGAGGAUUUCCCUUCGCUUCCUCCUCAACUCUUUCAAACACCUCCCCAUACCCAUCUUUCUUCAGAUUAUCCACAAAGUUUUCAAAUAUAGUGAGCAGAGGAAAGGCGUACUCAAUCACACUCUCGCUAAGGUUCGGAAACCCGUAGAAAAACCCGCCGCUGUGCAGACCAAACACUCGUCCCUCGGCAUCGAAAACCGGGGAGCCGGUGUUCUGGGAAUUUCUCCUACCCCGCAAACCGUCCUACCCGUUGUUCCUGAGCAUGUGCGCGCAUGCGCACAACACAUAAAGCGAAGCAAAGCACAUCCGGCUGUGAUUUAAUGCUACCCCGUUGUCAUAUUUGCAGGAAAAUAGCUUCGGUGAAGUCUGCUGUCAAGUUACUGGACACGUGGUAUUUGCACAACACUUCUGAAUCCGCAGCUUCGGUGUUUUAAGGCUGUUUCGAUAUGGAGAAGAAGUGGGAAGAGAUUUACGCGUUUAUUUCUGCGGGCUCCUACCCUUCAGGAUAUGACAAGGCUCAGAGGCAAAACCUCAGAAGAUAUGCCUCAAAAUUCCAACAAAAGGAUGGAGAACUCUUUGUUGGAACCAGAAAAGUAGUAAAA